UGAAACUUAAGUGUUUGUUAAUUUUGCUAUCUUCUGCAGACUGGAAAUAAUGCACAUAAAAAUCCAGUGAGUGAAAUUGGACAUGCCAUUGGUAUCACAAGACCAGAUGCUUUUGACGAAGACUUGUUCUUAUCUGAGUUUCAUUCCAUGUCUUCGGGAUUUUCAGUAAUAAGUAUUCGGGAUGAAAAACACGUUAUUGUCAACAAUAGUAAACUAAAUCAACUCGGAAUAUUCCCAAAUCUCCUCGGUCACACAAUAAUCAAUCCGAAUCUCCAGCUCAUUCUAUAACUCAGUCGGAAGCAGUUCAGCCAGAAAAUCUAGCUAUACAUACAAAUCAAUCAGACAACCUGAGGUCACAACAGCAACUUCUUAUCUCAUCACAGAAUAUAUCAGAACCUAGUCCCUAGCCUCCUACAAUAACAUCUGACACAUUCCUGCCUCAAACUGGUACUACUGUUUGUGAUCUCAAUGUUGAAAAUACCAAUCAAAACGUUAGCUAUGCAAACACAAGGUAAAGGUCAAUCAGAAAAUGUUCCAACUGUAACAGAAAGUUUUGUGAAUAACGAAAAGUCUGAAAGUACAUCAGAGAACGAUAAAACGGCAAGUUAUAGUGACAAUCUUUUUGCUAAGCUGGACGACCACAGUAAUACUAAUAAUGAUAUUGAUACUCAUGAGGUUUUGCAGGUUAUGAAUUCUAGAUUUGAAAUGAAUCCAGAAUUUCACCAGGUUAGUCGUAUGACAUCUGUACCUGAAACAGAUGGUGAAUCUUGUACUGUCGCAAGAAUUACAGUAUUGGAUCUAGAUGAUGGAAAAGAUAUCUCUGAUGCUGUAAUUCUUCAUGCUGAAGAUGACAAACAACUAGUAUCAGAAUUCAUUCAAAAUAUGGAGACAGAAUUUCCAGAAUUACAACUAAAUUUUAAAAUAUUCGAACAGUUGAAUAUAGGAAAAGGUAUACUUGAAUCAGCACCACUUCUGUUUAGAACCAGUAGAUUCGUAUUUGUGUUCAUGACAAAAAUAUUUGAGCAGGAUGAUCUGUCAAAAUACGUGAGCCAAAUGCUUUUGCUUGAAUCUAUUACAUUUGAGGAAAAAAGCAGCAGGUUAAUACCAAUAUUGAAGGAUGUCUAUUAUAAUCCAGUGUUCGCUCCUGUGAUUCCUUUGAUGUACAAUAGAUAUUUGGAGCACAAAUCUCAAAAAGAGGAAGAUAGUGUGUUUUUAAAAAGUUUUAAGAAAUUGGUCAUACAUGGGAGAAGAUCGUAUUUGACAAGCUAACAAUAUGUUGGUAAAGUAGAAAUCAUUAAUGUUCAUAAAUCUAGUUCUGUAUUUAAUAUUCGAAUAUGAUAUUCCUACAGUACUUAAGAUCUGGAUUUAGAUUAAGAAGCCAAUUGUGUAAUUGUUUUGGAGAUGAGUGCAAACCAUAGUUUGCAGCUCAUCCAUUAGUCUGUACUGUAUAUGUAUGAGUCUUUAAACAUUUUAUUACUAUUAUUUUGAAUUUUCCAAAAUUCAUAUAUAAAAUAUUGCCUCCCUGUGUGUAUUUCAGUUCACACGGCACACAGGGCCAUUUGAACUUUUGCCAUCAUUUGUAAACUUUUCUUUCAAAUUCGUUUCCUAUGAAACUGCAUAAUGGAUUGAAAUCAAAGUUUGUCUGCUUCAUUUAUAGGAUAUCUACUAUAAAGUGUGAUUUUUGUUCAGGUUAAUGAUGAACACUGUGGCUUAAAAUAGAACAUAGGGUGAAACUAAAGUUUUUGAUGAUACAUCGAAAAUCAAAGCAAUAGGAGAACAAACAAAUUUGUAAAUUUUACAAAAAUCUGUCCAUCAGUUUUGGAGUUAUUGUCCAUGAAAUGCUAAAACUAUAAGAUUUUAUAAUUUCAAACUUUGCAUAUAUAUUUAUAUAUCCCACAUUGAUAUCUUGGUGUGAAAGAGAAGGGAAAAUAGACAGAAAACUAACAUUAUAAUAUAUAUAAUAAAUCUUGAACAGAUAAAACCUAUUAGUUUCUAAAUUGUUUAAGAACUAUCCCUUGAUUUUUUUUUUAAUUUUGAUACCAUUCUAGAAAUUAACUCAUAUAACUAGAGUUGACAAUUUAUCUUAAUAUGUAUUCUUGGAUUUAGCAUAUUUUUACAUCUUACAUACAUGCAAAAGAGAUUGUUAUGGUAGUUAAAAAAACUCAUUUGUUUUCAAUUUGGAUAUGUUGAAAUUUUUGAAAUUCUAACUUGAAACAUUUAAAUAAUUUUGGUUAUAAAUUUGAAAUUUCAUGCAAUUUUUUUAACAUGAUUAAACAGUAUAUAUUGAACAAAAUAAGAUAUACUUUAAAUGUAAUUUUACAAGAACUUAAUAAGAUGAUUGAUUUAUUGGUGUUUGCUUUACGCCGCCUCAGCACAAAAAGGCUAUAUCUACUGAAUUCUAAGUAAUAAUCUUUGAAACUUAUUUUUUAUUGUUGCGAACGGUUCUACUUCAUGGUAUAAGCUACAGUUUUAAAUUCUUAAAAGGAAUACACACCUACAAAUAUUUGCCCACUUCCUAAUUGACAAAAUAAUCCUUCUUUGUUAAAAUAUUAGACAAAAUACGGAGUUGUUUGCGAACGAGGUGUUUGGUUUUUUGGGGAUGGGUGUGUUUAUGUUGUAUUGAAGGAAAGAGUGGAAUUGUUUUUUUCUUGAGCUGUUUGAUUUUUUGGUUGAGUGACAUUUGGUUGUUAUAUCUAUAACGUAAGUCUAUAUUUUUUUGUGUUUUAUUCUGCUUACUAAUUAUUUGUCUAAUAGUUAGCUAGAGUUAUUUUUUUUUUAUUGUUAAAUGUAUAUUGAUUGUUUUUGUAUUUCUAAAGAUUAUGAGGACAUCAUGUCUCUACUACACCAUGGAACACCAAGAAUGUGGUCCUUGGCUACUUUAAUAAUAUGAGGACAUUUUGCAAAGAAAACUUUAGAAAUUUUGACAAAAUAUAUGUUGCUUUAUGUCAAAUGAAUAUAAGUUAAUCUGAUAUGCUUCUACAAAUUAAUUAUUGGAGUUCCAUUAAAGCAUACCAGUUAUA